rnacentral:rRNA from 1 species
UACGUAGGGUGCAAGCGUUGUCCGGAUUUAUUGGGCGUAAAGAGCUCGUAGGCGGUUUGUCGCGUCGGAUGUGAAAACCCAGGGCUCAACCCUGGGCCUGCAUUCGAUACGGGCAGACUAGAGUAUGGCAGGGGAGACUGGAAUUCCUGGUGUAGCGGUGAAAUGCGCAGAUAUCAGGAGGAACACCGGUGGCGAAGGCGGGUCUCUGGGCCAAAAACUGACGCUGGAGGAGCGAAAGCGUGGGGAGCGAACAGG